GAUGAAGAACGUAGCGAAAUGCGAUAAGUAAUGUGAAUUGCAGAAUUCAGUGAAUCAUCGAAUCUUUGAACGCACCUUGCGCUCCUUGGUAUUCCGAGGAGCAUGCCUGUUUGAGUGUCAUGAAAUUCUCAACCUUUUCAGCUUUCUUUGUUGAUCAGGCUUGGAUGUGGGAGGAUGCGGGCUUCUCAGAAGUCGGCUCUCCUGAAAUGCAUUAGCGGGACCUUUGUUGCCUGGCUUUGGUGUGAUAAUUAUCUACGCCAUUGUAGUCAAGCAGCUUAAAAUGAGGUUUCAGCUUCUAACCGUCUCCCCUGAGACAACUUUUUGACAAUUUGACCUCAAAUCAGGUAGGACUACCCGCUGAACUUAAGCAUAUCAAUAAGCGGAGGA
rnacentral:misc_RNA from 1 species